rnacentral:rRNA from 1 species
UCGCCUGUUUAACAAAAACAUAGCUUUAUGAAAAUUUAUAUAAAGUUUUACCUGCUCAAUGAUAAUUUUAAAUGGCCGCAGUACUUUGACUGUGCUAAGGUAGCAUAAUAAAUUGACUUUUAAUUAAGGUCUAGAAUGAAAGGAUAUAUGAAUAUUUACUGUCUUUAAAAAAUUAAUAUUAACUUUCUUAAAAGGUGAAAAUUCCUUUAAGUAAAUUUAAAAGACGAGAAGACCCUAGGAGUUUAAAAUAAAUAAUUAUUUUUGUUGGGGCAACAUUAUAGUAAUUUAACCUAUAAUUUAAUAUAAUUUAUAAAACUAUAUUUUUAAUUAUAAAUAAGCUACCCUAGGGAUAACAGCAUAAUUUAUAUUACUGAUAAGUUUGUGACCUCGAUGUUGGAUUAGGGACUGUUAGUAAUAAGUUUACCUAUUGACUUGUUCUGUUCGACAUUUUAUACCUACGUGAUCUGAGUUCAGACCGGA